rnacentral:rRNA from 1 species
UACGUAGGGUGCAAGCGUUGUCCGGAAUUAUUGGGCGUAAAGAGCUCGUAGGCGGUCUGUCGCGUCGGCUGUGAAAUCCCGAGGCUCAACCUCGGGUCUGCAGUCGAUACGGGCAAACUGGAGUACUGCAGGGGAGACUGGAAUUCCUGGUGUAGCGGUGAAAUGCGCAGAUAUCAGGAGGAACACCAGUGGCGAAGGCGGGUCUCUGGGCAGUAACUGACGCUGAGGAGCGAAAGCGUGGGGAGCGAACAGG